AGACCAACGUUCUAUGAGGUCCUCCUACAUGGAGGGUGUCAUUCCCAAGCCUGGUACAGCCUUGCUUCUUUUCUGUCUCUCUGAACGGGGAGGGAAGACCAUCAGCCACAGACAGCAGCGGCAGAAGCAGCCUGCCAGCAGAUCUCAUGGCCCUUACAAAGGUCACAGCAGCCUGGCAUGUGACCUUUGAUGUCCCCUCCACACCUAACUUAAUGUCUACUGAGGACAUGUAAAGUCUCAGCGUUUGAGCAAUACCAAAACCAACCAACGGGGAGAUUCAUAGCAGCCACUACAUAAUCACCCCCAGCUGAGUGGACCUCUCUCUCCUCCUUGGUGCUGACACUUCCUGCUGAUCCCUUCAUGAAUACAGUUCCUUUCACUUCCUAAGCGGACUCAGAACCUGGAAAGGGCUCUCCUCUUGUCACUGUGACUGAAUAACUAACAAGAACCGGCUUGAGAGAAGCAGGAUGGAUUUUCACUCUGAGGACCCAAGUAAAACGUGUUGGGAUCACGCACUUCCUUCCCCAGAAUUUGGUGGCCUAGACAAGCAGAAUUCAGAUGUGGUAUCUGCUGCCCAUGAGUGAAGCCUCAGGGUGUGGCCAAGAGCUGG
rnacentral:lncRNA from 1 species